rfam:Rattus norvegicus chromosome 2, whole genome shotgun sequence.
GGGGAUUUAGCUCAGUGGUAGAGCGCUUGCCUAGCAAGCGCAAGGCCCUGAAGCGCAAGGCCCUGGGUUCAGUCCCCA